rnacentral:rRNA from 1 species
GACGAACGCUGGCGGCGUGCCUAAUACAUGCAAGUCGAACGAACUCUGGUAUUGAUUGGUGCUUGCAUCAUGAUUUACAUUUGAGUGAGUGGCGAACUGGUGAGUAACACGUGGGAAACCUGCCCAGAAGCGGGGGAUAACACCUGGAAACAGAUGCUAAUACCGCAUAACAACUUGGACCGCAUGGUCCGAGUUUGAAAGAUGGCUUCGGCUAUCACUUUUGGAUGGUCCCGCGGCGUAUUAGCUAGAUGGUGAGGUAACGGCUCACCAUGGCAAUGAUACGUAGCCGACCUGAGAGGGUAAUCGGCCACAUUGGGACUGAGACACGGCCCAAACUCCUACGGGAGGCAGCAGUAGGGAAUCUUCCACAAUGGACGAAAGUCUGAUGGAGCAACGCCGCGUGAGUGAAGAAGGGUUUCGGCUCGUAAAACUCUGUUGUUAAAGAAGAACAUAUCUGAGAGUAACUGUUCAGGUAUUGACGGUAUUUAACCAGAAAGCCACGGCUAACUACGUGCCAGCAGCCGCGGUAAUACGUAGGUGGCAAGCGUUGUCCGGAUUUAUUGGGCGUAAAGCGAGCGCAGGCGGUUUUUUAAGUCUGAUGUGAAAGCCUUCGGCUCAACCGAAGAAGUGCAUCGGAAACUGGGAAACUUGAGUGCAGAAGAGGACAGUGGAACUCCAUGUGUAGCGGUGAAAUGCGUAGAUAUAUGGAAGAACACCAGUGGCGAAGGCGGCUGUCUGGUCUGUAACUGACGCUGAGGCUCGAAAGUAUGGGUAGCAAACAGGAUUAGAUACCCUGGUAGUCCAUACCGUAAACGAUGAAUGCUAAGUGUUGGAGGGUUUCCGCCCUUCAGUGCUGCAGCUAACGCAUUAAGCAUUCCGCCUGGGGAGUACGGCCGCAAGGCUGAAACUCAAAGGAAUUGACGGGGGCCCGCACAAGCGGUGGAGCAUGUGGUUUAAUUCGAAGCUACGCGAAGAACCUUACCAGGUCUUGACAUACUAUGCAAAUCUAAGAGAUUAGACGUUCCCUUCGGGGACAUGGAUACAGGUGGUGCAUGGUUGUCGUCAGCUCGUGUCGUGAGAUGUUGGGUUAAGUCCCGCAACGAGCGCAACCCUUAUUAUCAGUUGCCAGCAUUAAGUUGGGCACUCUGGUGAGACUGCCGGUGACAAACCGGAGGAAGGUGGGGAUGACGUCAAAUCAUCAUGCCCCUUAUGGCCUGGGCUACACACGUGCUACAAUGGAUGGUACAACGAGUUGCGAACUCGCGAGAGUAAGCUAAUCUCUUAAAGCCAUUCUCAGUUCGGAUUGUAGGCUGCAACUCGCCUACAUGAAGUCGGAAUCGCUAGUAAUCGCGGAUCAGCAUGCCGCGGUGAAUACGUUCCCGGGCCUUGUACACACCGCCCGUCACACCAUGAGAGUUUGUAACACCCAAAGUCGGUGGGGUAACCUUUUAGGAACCAGCCGCCUAAGGUGGGACAGAUGAUUAGGGUG